UCCCGCCGAGGCUCUGAGGGGACGGCGAGCAGCGCCCGUGACGGGGAUCGAGGCUGGCGUUCGCCGCCGCAGGGCCGCUCCCCGCUGCAGCGCCCGCCCCGGUCCGGGGGGGGAGCUUGCGUCCUCGCUGCGGUACCGGCCUCCGCCUUAGCAGCCCGGGCUCGGCCGUCCCCGGGCCCUCAUCGGCGAGGCUGCCCGCAUCUGGAGGGGGGUGCCCGGGGCCUGCGUGGGCCCAGGCCGCUGCCCUGCACCCGCCGUGCCGCGGUGGGGCGAGAGCGCUGAGGAAAGAGGGGUCCGGGCGGGGGAGGAGCGUGACCGUGCGGGGGGAGGCCGGCCCCUCGCAUCGCCUCAGGGAGUUCUGUCCCCUGCGGGGGCAAACGCCGCCCUAACGACACCGCAGGGCUGUCUCCCGUGGGCUCCACGCAGUGGCACUAGGGAGCGGUUGAUGUAUCCCGCGCAUAGGCCGGUACGCCCUUCGAAGAGGCUUCAGCCCCUCACAGGUGACUUGUUACUGCAGGCGAGACUCUCCGGCCUCGUGAGGCAACGGAGCGGGCGCUCUUCGGUGGGUGCCGGCGUGCCGUCAUCGCCCAACAGCCGACAGGACGCGUUUGUAGGCCGCGGUGUCAACCCAGAGGCUGGAUCCGUCUGGCAGACGGGCAGCUAGGAGAGACCUGUUCUGUGGGAAGGGGGAAGGACAGAUUUGCUCCGCUCGCAGCAGCUUGCGUGAAAACUAGAUCAGAACUUCCAGGAUUGUCUAUAGAUGGAACACAACUUUCUAGUACUUCUGCUUUCUUAAGCUUCAUAAUGGAUAAUCAUGGAAAAACACAGAGUGUCAAUAAGCAUGAAGUCAUCACUGAAGGGACAGAGGAAUCUUGGAUCUUUUUCAGAAGACCUCUAAGGGCACUGUGUCUAGGUGCUGGUUUUUAUCUAUUUGACAACUUCAUAAACUUUGUGAGUAUCUUUUUCUUUUUUCUUCUUUUUUUUUUUUUUUUGGUAACUCUUGUCUUUCUGAAAGUAUCUCAGAUUCCCUACAAGAUGUCCUGAGUAAUAUUGUUCAGUUCAAAUGGUAUGUAGAGAGUGAAAAAACAGCAUCAACAUCAGGUUUAUAAUAAGGUGAGAACAGGGAGACUUCCUAAUUAGUGUAGGAGAUCUCUUCGAGGAGAAUUGUAAGAGUGUAUGUCUGACUACUUUGCUAGGCGAAGAAGGGUCAAUUGGCAGUAUAGUGCACCAAAGUAUUGAUGCUAUGGGAUACGGAAUAGAAGAAGGAAAUUUUACUGUAUUAUGUAAUGGGAAUUUUGUUGGGAGCCCUCAUAAUAUGUGUAUAAUUCCAUUCUGCAAAAAGCUUCCUGAUGACUGCCUUGUGAUGAUACAAUCCAUAGUGAAUAAGGUAUGAAGCUGAAGAGCAAGACUGUUG